AGUGAACGCUGGCGGUAGGCCUAACACAUGCAAGUCGAACGGCAGCACAGUAAGGGCUUGCUCUUACGGGUGGCGAGUGGCAGACGGGUGAGGAAUACAUCGGAAUCUACUUUUUCGUGGGGGAUAACGUAGGGAAACUUACGCUAAUACCGCAUACGACCUACGGGUGAAAGCAGGGGAUCUUCGGACCUUGCGCGAUUGAAUGAGCCGAUGUCGGAUUAGCUAGUUGGCGGGGUAAAGGCCCACCAAGGCGACGAUCCGUAGCUGGUCUGAGAGGAUGAUCAGCCACACUGGAACUGAGACACGGUCCAGACUCCUACGGGAGGCAGCAGUGGGGAAUAUUGGACAAUGGGCGCAAGCCUGAUCCAGCCAUACCGCGUGGGUGAAGAAGGCCUUCGGGUUGUAAAGCCCUUUUGUUGGGAAAGAAAAGCAGCAGGUUAAUACCCCGCUGUUCUGACGGUACCCAAAGAAUAAGCACCGGCUAACUUCGUG
rnacentral:rRNA from 1 species